AUGGACAUUCCAUCCUGGAACCAUGGCCCAAUUUGUCCGGAACCUUGUGGAGAAAGCCCCGGCGCUGGUGAACGCUGCUGUGACUUAUUCGAAGCCUCAAUUGGCCACAUUUUGGUCCUGUGCCAAGGUUGAACUCGUUCCUCCAACACUUGCUGAGAUCCCUAGAGCUAUUCAGAGCCUGAAAAAAAUAAUCCAUAGUGCUCAAACUGGAGGCUUCAAAUAGCUCACAGUUAAGGCAGCUUUGCUGAAUGGUUUGGUGGCCACCGAGGUGUGGAUGUAGUUUUAUGUCAGAAAGACCAUGGGUAAAUGUGGCAUUGUUGGCUAUAAUGUUUGA